rnacentral:rRNA from 1 species
GACGAACGCUGGCGGCGUGCUUAACACAUGCAAGUCGAACGGAAAGGCCCUGCUUUUGUGGGGUGCUCGAGUGGCGAACGGGUGAGUAACACGUGAGUAACCUGCCCUUGACUUUGGGAUAACUUCAGGAAACUGGGGCUAAUACCGGAUAGGAGCUCCUGCUGCAUGGUGGGGGUUGGAAAGUUUCGGCGGUUGGGGGUGGACUCGCGGCUUAUCAGCUUGUUGGUGGGGUAGUGGCUUACCAAGGCUUUGACGGGUAGCCGGCCUGAGAGGGUGACCGGCCACAUUGGGACUGAGAUACGGCCCAGACUCCUACGGGAGGCAGCAGUGGGGAAUAUUGCACAAUGGGCGGAAGCCUGAUGCAGCAGCGCCGCGUGCGGGAUGACGGCCUUCGGGUUGUAAACCGCUUUCGCCUGUGACGAAGCGUGAGUGACGGUAAUGGGUAAAGAAGCACCGGCUAACUACGUG